GUGCAGCAGGCGCGAAUACUUUACAAUGUGCGAAAGCACGAUAAGGGAACUCUGAGUGCCUCCUAGGGAGGCUGUUCAGGUGUCUAAAAGCACCUGAAGGAAGGGCUGGGUAAGACCGGUGCCAGCCGCCGCGGUAACACCGGCAGCCCAAGUGGUAGCCACGUUUAUUGGGUCUAAAGCGUCCGUAGCCGGCUGGGUAAGUUCCUUGGGAAAUUUGGCUGCUUAACAGUCAAGCUUUCAGGGAAUACUGCCCGGCUUGGGGACCGGGAGAGGUCAGAGGUACUCCAGGGGUAGGGGUGAAAUCCAUUAAUCCUUGGGGGACCACCGGUAGCGAAGGCGUCUGACCAGACCGGGUCCGACGGUGAGGGACGAAGGCUAGGGGCGCGAACCGGAUUAGAUACCCGUGUAGU
rnacentral:rRNA from 1 species